ACACAUUCCAGCCAAUCAGCAGCAGACCCUCCCUCCCAGACCCUCCCACCUCCUGGACAGCAUCCAUUGUGAAGCUGCAUUCUUAGUGAACUGUCCAGGAGGUGGGAGGGUCUGGGAGGGAGGGUCUGCUGCUGAUUGGCUGGAAUGUGUCU